GACAGAGGUCCCGAGCGUUAGGCGGAAUCACUGGGCUUAAAGCGUGUGUAGGCGGAUGCCUAAGUACCUUGUGAAAUCCCACGGCUCACCCGUGGAACUGCUUGGUAUACUGGGUGUCUUGAGCCACUUAGGGGCUACCGGAACAAAUGGUGGAGCGGUGAAAUGCGUAGAUAUCAUUUGGAACGCCAAUGGUGAAAACAGGUAGCUGGGAGUGUGCUGACGCUGAGACACGAAAUCCAGGGGAGCAAACGGG
rnacentral:rRNA from 1 species